rnacentral:misc_RNA from 1 species
UUCUGACUCCUGUUAGCUGGCUGAGAACUUUCCCUGCCCAUAGCCUUAUCCUACUAGUUUUCCCUGGAGCACAAUCUGGAAAUCAGUUUGCAAUCAGAUCAUCAAUUACUUCUUGGUGAUGGUCAAAGUCGAGGUCGAGAAGACGGUCGGACACCGCGGUUGACUCACUGAGCGAGUGGUCGCCAGAGUCGAGUUCCCAGCCAAGAACAAUUGAGGAAAAUGGGAUUGUUCUCCAAGUCUCCUUCUAAAAACCCCAAGGACCAGGUGAAUGAGUGGUGCAGCCGAAUAAGGAAGGAGGGCUAUGGCUUGGACCGGCAGAUUAGAGGCAUCCAGCGUGAAGAAGAAAAGGUGAAGCGCACACUAAAGGAAGCAGUUAAAAAGGGAGACCAGGAUGUUUGCAAAUUGCUGGCCAAAGAAAUAGUUCAGUCACGGAAGGCUGUCACUCGAAUUUACACCAGCAAAGCACACCUUAACUCUGUUCAGUCACAGAUGAAAGCACAGUUAGCCACUCUCCGUGUUGCCGGUUCUCUACAGCAGUCAACGGAGGUUAUGAAGGCCAUGCAAGAGUUAGUAAAGCUCCCUGAAAUUAGCAAAACCAUGCAGGAAUUAAGCAAGGAAAUGAUGAAAGCUGGAAUCAUUGAGGAGAUGCUGGAGGACACGAUGGAGACCCUCGAACCCGAGGAGCUGGAAGAAGAGGCUCAGAAGGAGGUAGACAAGGUAUUAUGGGAGAUUACCGCUGGGCAACUGGGUAAGGCACCAGCUAUGGUAAGUGAUGCACUGCCUGCUGAACCUGAAGGGGCGACUGCUCUUGUGUCAGACGAAGAGCCAGAGGAAGAUAUGGAAGAGAUGAGAAAUCGCCUUGAAGCUCUCCGCAGCUGAACAAGGGUGGAACUGAUCCAAUGAAGAAUUAUCUUCUUUUCUUUAUAUCAAGGGCGCAGAGCUGGUUACACAAGUUUGGUUGCAGUCCAAGAUUAAACUGACCAUUUCUCUCCGUGGGACUGCCACAAAAUUCUGGGCCUGUAAUGCCAAGGAUUUGAGUUAGUAUAUACCGAUUUUGCCUUGGUGUUAUUUUGGAUAACUGUGAGAUAACAUUAUGCCUUUAGUUUCUUACAUCAUAAUUCUUGUUCUUCACUCACUUGUCUGAAGAGUAGUUUUGUAGUUUAAAUGUUUGUAUAAAUGAAUAUCCUGGUAAUUUAUCACCAUGAAAAGAUUAAUGUACUCACAAAAUACUAUACAGUUUAGAUAUAGACUUUCAAAACUGACUGAAGACAUGUAGUGUGUACAAAACAAGGGUUGGUAACUUAUUUUUGAAUGAGCCAGAUAAGAAUAUGUUCCCCUGGUGGCACAUCAUGAAUUUUAAACUAGAUGAGGGAAAAGGAAAUCCCUCAGUAAAAAGCUUACAUUUUAACUAUUAAUGAACUUACUGCAUAGCUAAUGUGUUUUUCUCUCCAAUUCUGCACUUUUUGUUAAUGCUAAACUUUGUUUCCAAAUUUCUCUUCAAUUUUAUUCUUUCUUAUUUGGCCAGUCAAGUCUCUGUAUUUCUGAUAUUUUGUCUCAUAGUGAUACUUAACAUUUGAAUUCUUUAUUAACAGAUACAGUUUCAUGAGAAAAUACACAUACAGUACAGUACUAGUUUGCCACAAUGUUGCAAGAAGAAAUACUUCUCUCUCUCUCUCUCUCUCCACAUUUCCUGGAACAUUAAUCUUGAAAUUUGCUGAAAAAAAUUAGUUACACUGUAUAUAAGUUAUAUUUAUUUAGAAUUUGUUGAAGGCAAUGGCAGGCUGGACAGAUUAGAUCAGCGGACCAGACCAGACCUGCGGUUCAUGUGUUGCAGACCCGGGGUGUAAAACAUACUUGUGCUUGGAUAACACAGGAAUUGUAAAAGGGUAAUUGACAGGAAUUUUGUUUGAAUUUCCAUGGUUUCAAAUUCUGUUGGUAAUUGUGUGCCCAUGUCAGGUCCUCCUGUAUGUAAAAAUAAAUUUAUACAAGUCCAUUUUGGCAUCGUGUUACGCUAAGAUCUUACUGUGAUUAUGUGCAGGCGAGGAGUCACAAUAACGUGGCUGAAGUAGUUUGACCAGACCACACACUAGAAGCUGAAGGGACGACGACGUUUCAGUCCGUCCUGGACCAUUCUCAAGUCGACAAUCGAUUUGUUGUCUGGUCAAAUUACUGUGAUCAUCCUGGUCAUGGAGGUGUUUAUAACUACUGUACCUAUUUAUUAGAAACUGCAUCACUGAACUUGCCUUAAAUCAUGUGCAUACAGUCUUGGAUUUAAUUUAGAGUCCAUUCAAACGAGUAUCAUUUCAUUAUGAUUACAAAUUAUAAAUCUUUCAUAGACAGUGACUUUUUUACUUUUUACUACAGGUAAGGAAAGAUGGUGCAUUUUUUCUAAAUUGAUCUCUUCUCGAGCACAUCACAUGGCCAUAUUUUCUUAAGUGUUUGUACCCAAGUGAUUUAAUGGUUGUGUAUUUUCAGGACUUCUUGAAGUUGUCAGUAGUAAACUGUGAAGAUUUAUAUUACCUAAGGUGAGCAAUACCUUGGUACAUAAUUAAAGGUACAUGUACAGUAUUAAGUUAUAUUCUCCUGAGCCCCUCCACUGUAACAUCCUGUCCAGCAGCACUCUCUCCUGCAAGACUUUUUUUUUUUUUAAUUACAAAAUUCAACAAAUAAUUUGUUCUAAGUAUAGAGUUAUGGUGAGUUUGUUAAGAGUGGAAGCCUUUCUCUUAUACAAACUGUAUUGUUGUACUGUACAGUACUUUGAUACACACCAUCUCAUUGAUCAUUCAGGUUUUCAAGUUAACCAAAUUUUGUUUGCCUCAAUCCAUUUAAAUCAGAUGUCAUUAGAUACAUUUCUUAGUGAAUUCAAUUUCUAGGUAUCUAAGACUGUCCUUUUGCUCUUUUAUUGGCAUCUUCAAUAUAUAAAUACGUUGCUUUUACCUUUGAUUUGGCUGGAAGAGUUGUAUAUGUCACCACUACCUUGUUUUCUAUCGAUUCCGUGUUUAAUAAUUGCCCUGUAGUCACUUCCAUCAUACACUAUGCUAUUCAGUCCCCCAUCC